UCCCUGGUGGUCCAGUGAUUUGGACUCUGCCCUUCCACUGCAGGGUCACAGGUUCAAUCCCUGACUGGGGAA
rnacentral:tRNA from 1 species